rnacentral:rRNA from 1 species
ACACUCCUACGGGAGGCAGCAGUGGGGAAUAUUGGACAAUGGGCGCAAGCCUGAUCCAGCCAUGCCGCGUGAGUGAUGAAGGCCCUAGGGUUGUAAAGCUCUUUCACCGGUGAAGAUAAUGACGGUAACCGGAGAAGAAGCCCCGGCUAACUUCGUGCCAGCAGCCGCGGUAAUACGAAGGGGGCUAGCGUUGUUCGGAUUUACUGGGCGUAAAGCGCACGUAGGCGGACUAUUAAGUCAGGGGUGAAAACCCGGGGCUCAACCCCGGAACUGCCUUUGAUACUGGUAUGCUUGAGUUCGGGAGAGGUGAGUGGAAUUCCGAGUGUAGAGGUGAAAUUCGUAGAUAUUCGGAGGAACACCAGUGGCGAAGGCGGCUCACUGGCUCGAUACUGACGCUGAGGUGCGAAAGCGUGGGGAGCAAACAGGAUUAGAAACCCCUGUAGUCCCA